rnacentral:rRNA from 1 species
CCCUUAGAUGUUCUGGGCUGCACGCGCGCUACACUGAAGCUAUCAACACGUUUUCCCUCCCUGAGAAGGGCGGGUAACCUUUUGAAUCAGCUUCGUGGUAGGGAUCGGGGCUUGCAAUUGUUCCCCGAGAACCAGGAAUUCCUAGUAGACGCGAGUCAUAAGCUCGCAUCGAUUAAGUCCCUGCCCUUUGUACACACCGCCCGUCGCUACUACCGAUUGAACGUUUUAGUGAGGCAUUUGGACCGACGCAUCUCAGUUUAACCGCUGGUUUGUGUUGGAAAGACUUCCAAACUUGAGCGUUUAGAGGAAGUAAAAGUCGUAACA